rnacentral:rRNA from 1 species
UACGUAGGGGGCUAGCGUUGUCCGGAUUUAUUGGGCGUAAAGAGCGUGUAGGCGGCCAGGUAGGUCUGGUGUGAAAACUCGAGGCUUAACCUCGAGAUGUCAUCGGAAACCAUCUGGCUAGAGUCCGGAAGAGGAGAGUGGAAUUACAGGUGUAGCGGUGAAAUGCGUAGAUAUCUGUAGGAACACCCGUGGCGAAGGCGGCUCGCUGGACCGUUACUGACGCUGAGGAACGAAAGCUAGGGGAGCAAACAGG